CCUCUCUCGGCUUCUUCGGCUGAACCGGAAAUAAUCGGUUGGCAUUAGCAACGUUUCGGCCGAUCCAGGCCAGAAUACAGAGAUAGCAGAAGAGACAGAAACAAACAGACAGAAAACACUGAAGAACAGGCUAACAUUCCCGUUGAGCCUCAUACUGAGAUUGUGAGGCAAGAGACUAUAGCAGAAUGACAAGCUCCUCUACCCCUAGAAUGCACACGUACAAGAGGACUUCCAGCCCUCGAUCACCAACAAAUACAGGAGAGCUUUUCACACCAGCACAUGAAGAAAAUGUGCGCUUCAUCUAUGAUACUUGGCUUUGUGUUUUAAGAGACAUUAAAUCCCCACAAAAUAGUGAACGUAAUGAUCGUGGACCACAGGAGUAUGUGGAGAAAAACCCAACUCCCAACCUACAUUGUGAGCUUACUUUUAUGU